rnacentral:lncRNA from 1 species
CUCUCAUUCCUGUUUUGCAACUCUUUCCUCUCAAAUCUCAAAUCUCCAGGCUGUUCUAGUUGUUCUGCCUUAUUUCUUUUGCACAGCCCCCUCACCACCAUCUUUAGUUUGGACAAUAGUCUAUAUUCUCACCAACCCAUGAGCUCAACUUUAACUUUUUUUUUUUUUUAGAUGUUUGUGUCUCUUUGUCACUGUCAUUACCCUGGGAUAAGUCUGCAGAAAUAAAGACUUCUUGCAGAAUGGCAUGAAUUAUUUCUCACCAGAGAGAUCUGAAUGCUAAUGUCACUCUUAAGAAGACUUAAGACCUUAGGGGAGACAUAAGAAGGAACUUCACCACUACAGGAGAACCCCUGGUGCUUUAGCCAGGCAUUGCCAAUGGCUGGAAGGUUCCAUGGAUAGGUUCCCUGAUGUCCCCACCCUCAUUAUAUCUGGAAUGAAUAAAGAGGGGAAGGACAAAGAGACAUCCACGGGCAUCAAAGGCAUCUCCAAGGGACAAAAGAAAGAGAAGAGCCAGCUGUUUAUUUCUGGAUUCCCGAGUUGUUUGUUAUCAGCUUCUCUCAGCUGUGCAGUGCCCCUGGAAAUGGAAGUUGUGAGAUG